rnacentral:rRNA from 1 species
UGGGGAAUAUUGCACAAUGGGCGCAAGCCUGAUGCAGCCAUGCCGCGUGUAUGAAGAAGGCCUUCGGGUUGUAAAGUACUUUCAGUCGGGAGGAAGGUGGUAAGGUUAAUAACCUUAUCAAUUGACGUUACCGACAGAAGAAGCACCGGCUAACUCCGUGCCAGCAGCCGCGGUAAUACGGAGGGUGCAAGCGUUAAUCGGAAUUACUGGGCGUAAAGCGCACGCAGGCGGUCUGUCAAGUCGGAUGUGAAAUCCCCGGGCCCAACCUGGGAACUGCAUUCGAAACUGGCAGGCUAGAGUCUUGUAGAGGGGGGUAGAAUUCCAGGUGUAGCGGUGAAAUGCGUAGAGAUCUGGAGGAAUACCGGUGGCGAAGGCGGCCCCCUGGACAAAGACUGACGCUCAGGUGCGAAAGCGUGGGGAGCAAACAGG